GGUCUUAUGGUCUAACGGUCAUGACAUUGGACUUUGAAUCCAGUAGCCCGAGU
rnacentral:tRNA from 1 species